rnacentral:rRNA from 2 species
AGACCCGAAACCCGGUGAUCUAGCCAUGGGCAGGUUGAAGGUUGGGUAACACUAACUGGAGGACCGAACCGACUAAUGUUGAAAAAUUAGCGGAUGACCUGUGGCUGGGGGUGAAAGGCCAAUCAAACCGGGAGAUAGCUGGUUCUCCCCGAAAGCUAUUUAGGUAGCGCCUCGUGAAUUCAUCUCCGGGGGUAGAGCACUGUUUCGGCUAGGGGGCCAUCCCGGCUUACCAACCCGAUGCAAACUGCGAAUACCGGAGAAUGUUAUCACGGGAGACACACGGCGGGUGCUAACGUCCGUCGUGAAGAGGGAAACAACCCAGACC